rnacentral:rRNA from 1 species
GACGAACGCUGGCGGCAGGCCUAACACAUGCAAGUCGAACGAGUGGCGGACGGGUGAGUAAUGUCUGGGAAACUGCCCGAUGGAGGGGGAUAACUACUGGAAACGGUAGCUAAUACCGCAUACCAUCGGAUGUGCCCAGAUGGGAUUAGCUAGUAGGUGGGGUAACGGCUCACCUGAGCGACGAUACCUAGCUGGUCUGAGAGGAUGACCAGCAACACUGGAAAUGAGACACGGUCCAGACUCCUACGGGGGGCGGCAGGGGGGAAUAUUGCACAAUGGGCGCAAGCCUGAUGCGGCCAUGCCGCGUGUAUGAAGAAGGCCUUCGGGUUGUAAAGUACUUUCAGCUAGGAGGCGUUACUCGCAGAAUAAGCACCGGCUAACUCCGUGCCAGCAGCCGCGGUAAUUC